rnacentral:rRNA from 1 species
GAUGAACGCUAGCUACAGGCUUAACACAUGCAAGUCGAGGGGCAGCAUGAACUUAGCUUGCUAAGUUUGAUGGCGACCGGCGCACGGGUGAGUAACACGUAUCCAACCUGCCGAUGACUCGGGGAUAGCCUUUCGAAAGAAAGAUUAAUACCCGAUGGCAUAGUUCUUCCGCAUGGUAGAACUAUUAAAGAAUUUCGGUCAUCGAUGGGGAUGCGUUCCAUUAGGUUGUUGGCGGGGUAACGGCCCACCAAGCCUUCGAUGGAUAGGGGUUCUGAGAGGAAGGUCCCCCACAGUGGAACUGAGACACGGUCCAAACUCCUACGGGAGGCAGCAGUGAGGAAGAUUGGUCAAUGGACGAGAGUCUGAACCAGCCAAGUAGCGUGAAGGAUGACUGCCCUAUGGGUUGUAAACUUCUUUUAUACGGGAAUAAAGUGAGGCACGUGUGCCUUUUUGUAUGUACCGUAUGAAUAAGGAUCGGCUAACUCCGUG